AGAGUUUGAUCCUGGCUCAGAUUGAACGCUGGCGGCAUGCCUAACACAUGCAAGUCGAACGGUAGCAGGCCUUCGGGUGCUGACGAGUGGCGGACGGGUGAGUAACGCGUAGGUAUCUAUCCUUGGGUGGGGGACAACCGUGGGAAACUACGGCUAAUACCGCAUGAUCCCUGAGGGGCAAAGGCGCAAGUCGCCUGGGGAGGAACCUGCGUCCGAUUAGCUAGUUGGUGGGGUAACGGCCUACCAAGGCUGCGAUCAGUAGCUGGUCUGAGAGGAUGAUCAGCCACAUUGGCACUGAGACACGGGCCAGACUCCUACGGGA
rnacentral:rRNA from 1 species